CGGGUGAGUAACACGUGGGAACGUGCCUUUAGGUUCGGAAUAACUCAGGGAAACUUGUGCUAAUACCGAAUGUGCCCUUCGGGGGAAAGAUUUAUCGCCUUUAGAGCGGCCCGCGUCUGAUUAGCUAGUUGGUGAGGUAAAGGCUCACCAAGGCGACGAUCAGUAGCUGGUCUGAGAGGAUGAUCAGCCACAUUGGGACUGAGACACGGCCCAAACUCCUACGGGAGGCAGCAGUGGGGAAUCUUGCGCAAUGGGCGAAAGCCUGACGCAGCCAUGCCGCGUGAAUGAUGAAGGUCUUAGGAUUGUAAAAUUCUUUCAGUAGGGACGAUAAUGACGGUACCUACAGAAGAAGCCCCGGCUAACUUCGUGCCAGCAGCCGCGGUAAUACGAAGGGGGCUAGCGUUGCUCGGAAUUACUGGGCGUAAAGGGAGCGUAGGCGGACAUUUAAGUCAGGGGUGAAAUCCCGGGGCUCAACCUCGGAAUUGCCUUUGAUACUGGGUGUCUUGAGUAUGAGAGAGGUAUGUGGAACUCCGAGUGUAGAGGUGAAAUUCGUAGAUAUUCGGAAGAACACCAGUGGCGAAGGCGACAUACUGGCUCAUUACUGACGCUGAGGCUCGAAAGCGUGGGGAGCAAACAGGAUUAGAUACCCUGGUAGUCCACGCCGUAAACGAUGAUUGCUAGUUGUCGGG
rnacentral:rRNA from 1 species